rnacentral:lncRNA from 10 species
GGAAGCCUGCGCUGCAUGACCAUCGAGGUCACUCCACCUCUAAAACUCAGAUUUGAGGCAUUGUUCUAGAUGCUGGAAAUAUAACAGUGAGCAAAAUAUAAAAAUCCUUGUUCUCAUGGAACUGACCUUCUGUUGGGAAGAAUAAUACUGCCUACCUCACAAGGUGGUGUAAUCCAUGGAAAAGAAAGCAUGUUUACACUAUGGAGUAAAAAGAUAAGUGGUUAUGACUGUUAUUAUUUUACACCUCCAACAAUUGUGUGGUCAGAAGACACUAAACUAUCCCCUGUACCUCCUCAUAGCAACCCCCAUGGCCUUGCUUUGGACCUUAUAUGACUGAUUCCUUUGAGCUAAAGCAUUUUAUCUAAGAACACUAACACAAUUUAUUAUAAUUCCUGGUUUACAAAGUGACCCAGUCACCUAACAGGGCCCUGAAGGAACAAGGUACUGCUCAAGUUUUGUACUGAUGUUGUAAAAAGGGUCAGAAAAGGCAAGAACAUGGAAAUUACCAAUGAGGACCAAGGUGAGAAGUGAGGCAACACCAGUGUCCUGUGCUGGGAACUGAUUGGAGAGCAGAAAAGAAGACAGGCAUCUUUAUCCUAAAAACUAAAAACCUCCACUGGAGUCUCCAGUCAGCUUGCAAGCUUGACAGAGGCGCCAUCCAAAGGUGAGGCCGCUGCUAGAAGAGGGCAGAUUCAAAAGACUUGAGAAAAAAUGGAGUCAGAACCUGAUCAAACCACAGAAACCUGCAACCUAGGGAAAAGAUGAUAGUCUGACUGCUGCUUGCACAAAUAGCAGGGAGGCCUUUCUUUAGUACAAUGGACUGACAAUGAGCAUAGUUUUUGUAAGGCUGGAAUAACAAGUUACGAAAUACCACCAUCAUCACAGCUGAGAAGGAUGUGAGAGCCGAUUCUGCACUGCAAUCACCAGCUCACAGCACUUAGUUGAAUGUCUCCUCUCCUCCAAAACCAGAGCCAAGGCCAUCAGCAGAACCCUCAAAGUCAUCUGAGAUGAGAUACUGCAGGAUUAAAUAUGAACUUUUCCUCAACGGUUUGAUGGAUCAAAGUUAUAGUGUCUUCAGCAAUUUUUAUCCAAUUAUAGUUUGAAGAGUUAAGCUAUAACUUAAACUUAUAUUUAAGCAAAACCAGCAUAAGUGAAAAAAAGUACCACUUCAAAACAGAUUCAAAAACAAGAAAUAAAACAAAAGCUUAAGAACUUUUGCUAAAAAUUAUCUCCCUUUCUGCAACCACUUGGAAGAAAAGGGGGUAAAACAUACGAUAAAAUGUUAAUUACUUGGAACACAUUUAACCAGACUUUUCAAUCAUUUGGAUCAUUUUUUGCCUUUUGGUUAUUUUUGGACAAAUAUUUCUGCAAUUUGAAACAUAAUUUAACUCUUCUAGAACCAUGCUUCUUUGCAAUAGCAUCAAUAGUUUAGCACAAAAUUUUAAGAAGUGUAAUGCUAUGAAGAAUAGCAUAGUAAGAAAUUUUUUUUUCUGCAAACAUUCUUGGUUGUUAAAGAAAAUUGUUUUAAAACACAAGCUUGGGAGGCCGAGGCGGGCGGAUCACGAGGUCAGGAGAUCGAGACCAUCCUGGCUAACACAGUGAAACCCCGUCUCUACUAAAAAUACAAAAAAAUUUGCCAGGCGUGGUGUCGGGCAACUGUAGUCCCAGCUACUCAGGAGGCUGAGGCAGGAGAAUGGCGUGAACCCAGGAGGUGGAGCUUGCAGUGAGCCGAGAUCGUGCCACUGCACUCCAGCCUGGGCAACAGAGUGAGACCCCGACUGAAAAAAACAAAAAACAAAAAAACACAAGCUUUACCUUUGUAAACUAAGAGAUAUAUAUAAAAAAGGAAAAUUUAUCAUGCAUAAAAAACCUUGGCAUAUAUAUCUGGCUACAUAUUUUUACAUAUGCAUAUUUGUAUUUUACAUAUACAUAUUUUUAUUGUGUUCCAGGAUUGAAGAGUAAUCAUAAACCCUGUGCAAAACAGAUGAGGUGACCUUAGCUUCAACCCUCCAGUUCUCUUGCAUGAUAUCUAAUUGCAAAAAUUUAUAGCAGGGUUUAAGAGCAGAUAUGGCUUAUUUAUCCAGAAACAUCUGAUUGUAUAUAAAGUCAUGAAGUAACAUUCUGUAAGCACCUGGGCACUCAGCUGGAGUAGGGGUAUGCAAGAAUCUUCUUCACCAUAUUUUCCUUAACUUGGUUUUC